UGACGACGGAAAUGGUGGACAAGGUGUAUUUUAGCAAUAAUAAACACCACCAUAUUUUGUUUAUGAUUAUAGGUCUAAAGUAUAUUCGUACGUAUCAACAAAACUACUAAGGAAUGGUACUUGCUUCAGCAUUCUUGUGGCCAUUUCAUUAAAUAUUCUGGACGUACCAACUGUGUGGACCAAAAAUGCCAAAAGAACUACGUGAACUCGGAAUGGCAUAUAUGGCCGAAUUGAUGCAUUCUUACAGAAAACUCCAUAAUUUGCUGUAUUAUAGUGUAUUUCCAUAUAUAUAUAUCCAUAAUCAAAUAUUUGAACUUGAAUGUAUAUUUCAAACGCCAAACAAUACGAGUUACUUGCUUUGUGGUGAGUGCAAGGUUAUCUACAGCCGAAGCAAAUGAAUACAGAUUACUUAAACUCUUCUACUGAAGCAUUUCCAGUUGACAUGAUGGGAUUGACAUCUACAUCUUGCAAGACCUGAAACUGGAGAAAGUGGGCAUUAAUUUGCGGUUUGGACUAGAUGGAUAAAAUUAGCAGAUGCAGACAAGUUAUGACAUUUUGCUACGAGAACAGUUUACAGAUGGAUGUGGGCGUGAGUAGGUACUUUUACUUUGCGAAAGUCAGCCGAGAACUGCUAUGGCUGAAAUUCUGAAGCAAUACGUUGGAGCCUGAGGAGAAAUGUUCGGUCAGCUUUAGGGAUCCAGUUUUAAAACCCGUACCAAAUGCAACCACAAAACCAGUAAACCCUAGUGUGAGAGCUCCAUUCCCAUCUCAAAUGGAGUCAGAGUUGGACACAUUGCCAGAAACUGCAGGCAGUACAGACAAAUGUGCCGGCUUAUCUUAUUCCAAGUCAUGUCAACCAAAUCUACUUUUCCAUGAAGAAGGUAGUAAUGAAGAUCCAGAAGUGGAUAAAUAUAAACCAGACAUAAGUGCUUGCAUGGUUGAAAGGAAAGUAGCAUCAUUAGAUGACUGCUGCUGCACAGAUGAAGAGGGUAGUCAGGUGUGCUUUGCAUGGUGGAAAUAGACUCAGGCGGACGAACGCGGCUUGUUUCGAAAAGGAUUUUUGAUGCGAUUAGAUGAAGCAACAGAACAUGACCCAUGCAGCAAGUCACGAAAAGUGUACUGAAGUUUUGUUAGAACAUUUGCUGAAUAGUGCAAUAAUCUUGGCGACAGACAACUCUCUGCAAGAUAAGUAACUUUUGAUGUACAUCAAAGAAUUAAUACUAAUCUGUUUUUGGUGGAUGCAGCAACUCAGUUGCAAGACAGGAAAAGUACUGCUGCAGAGGAAGACAAGGAAGAGAAACCUAUUAUAAUUAAUUUUGUUUAAUAUAGGCAAUUUAAUUUAAUUUAGUUAAUUUAAUUUGUCAUGCCUAAUACAAUACAAAGUUUGGCUAACAUCUUGCUGAAUAUUGUGAUGCAGUAAACCCGGUAAAAGCAGUUGUAUUAUUUGUAGACUGGGUCCCAGUCCCUAAUCUUUGUCUUAAUCUGUAAAAAAGCUGGGAAAUCGAUUUUAGCACCAAUGGCGUUCCAUAUUACCUAUUUGCUUGGCAUAUCAUAGUAAACUUUUUCUUCGCAUAAAAGUUUCUCGAUAUAUACCGACGCUGGUGGCACUUUCCAAAAUUAGCUAAUACUAGGAAAGCCUAUAAUUAGAGACUUGUGGCAAGUCUAUAUUAUUUGUUGCAGCAUCAAGACAACAAUUGCUUAAUUCUGAAAAAAAAACUGAGUAUAUUGUACAGAAGAUAUAAACUGGCUAAUUACAAUCAGACCAGAGAACCAGAAAACUACUAUGAUUACUAGCAGAGCAUUUUAACUUUCUAUAUAAUGAAUUGUUGAUACCUAAUAAUUUACAUUGUGCUUUUGGUUAUGAAGAUAAUAAAAAAUAUAAGUAUGUGUGUUGACUUUUCUUUGCUGUUCAAAGUGGAUGCAGGUAAGUUGUUGCAGCAUCAAGACAACAAUUGCUUCAUCCUGGAAAACUGAUUAUAUUGUACAGAAGAUAAGAGAACAAGAAAACUACUGUAACUUGCAUUUGAACUUUCCAUAUAAUGAAUUUUUGAUGCUGAAUAAUUUUCAUUACACGAUUUUGGUUAUGACGAUCAUAAAAAAAAACAUAUCACUAGUCUUUUGAUGUUUCUUUGCUGUUCAAGUUUGAAGACGGAUGGCAUGACUGAUGGAUGCAGGUAAGAUGAAAAAAGCGCCCUCCAAUAGAAAAAGGCU
rnacentral:misc_RNA from 1 species